rnacentral:tRNA from 1 species
AGUCUUAUAUUUUAAAUAAAAUAUUAAAUUGCAAGUUUAAAGAUAGAAUUUUUUUCUUAAGGCUU